GUCUUUUCCGCGUUGUAUCUUGACAGCGUGCCAGAUCUCCUUCCCUUCCUGUCAAUUGUUUCAUUAUGCCGUUUUUACGGUAAGAAUGGGAUCCCGUGAGAUCCGUUUACAUCACUCCGAUUUUUAAUUCGUCCAGCCAGCGGCAGCAGCCCUCGUUUGUCCUAAACCCCCAUCAUCCGCGCCAUGUCAUCGUCUCAAAUCGGUGGCAGAUUUGUAGAGUGUGGGGAUCUCUGGGCCCUGGUUGUGGUGGCAAGCCAGCGUCUACUCCAUCAACCCUUAUUACGCCUCCACAAUCCCAUAAUAGCCCCCGGUUUAUGUUUAGCCCUCUCCUGCAACACCUACUCUUCCGCCGAGAUAAAGAGAGAUGGAGAGGCGGUGAAAGACAGAGAGAUGGAAAAAGAGAUGGAAGUCAAACAAUAAAAUAAAAUGUGGCAUAUACCACAAUAAAAAAAUGUAUAUUUUUGGCUUGUUCUGCAG
rnacentral:lncRNA from 1 species